GCGGGGGUUUAAUUGGUUUACACAUCAUCAUUCAAAGGCCCAGCUGAGAUGGAAGAGUUGUCCUGUAAAUUUUUGUGCGGACAGAUUGACAGGACCAUGACAUCUCACCAUAAAUGCUAAGAUAACAGAAGGGAGCAGAGAAUACGAGUAAGCACACCCAAGUACUGUAAAACAUCUUAACUGGACAUAAUUUAAGGUCUAAUGAAUGUUGCGAUUAAGCAAUCCUUGGAACAACAAGUAAAGAUCUUUGUUAUCCAUCCCAAAUAUCUCUUCUGCUUUCCUUAAGGUUUCUUCUCGAGUCUGCUUUUGAGCAUUCAGCUCCUUGAUGUUAGCCAGAAAUGAACUAAACUGUUCAUAUGAUAGACGACCCCUGGCCUGGCGAAAGAACUCCUUUCCAUCAAUUCGUGGAGUGCGUGCUGGCAAUGGUCGUCCACGGGGAGGAGAGUUUGCUGCUGAUGACUGCUGGCUUGAUGGGUACCAUGAAGAGAGUGUAGUCCGUCCCUCAUUAUAAGGUUUUGUGGGAGAUGUUGUGCCAGAGGUUCUCUGAGGAGAUCCAGCAGCAGAAAAACCUCUAGGGGACACACUUGAAGAAAUGAUUUUUGGGGUUCCUGUUGGAGUAAGCCUUGGUGUGAUAUAUGGAGUAAUAGAAAAUCUUUGCCCACCAUGUCUUGAAGCAUCACCGACUGUGUUUCCUGUAUCAGUAGAGCCGCUAUGAGAAUUUUGGGAUGCAUAGCCAUUCAUCCCCUCAUCUUUGUCAGGAUACGCUUUGGGAACUGACUGAUCACAAGUGCCAAUAUCAACAGUUUCAGCUGAUAAAUUAUCAUCAUUUAGUGAUUGCAUCAAUUGCCUCUUAAAGGUCUCCAACUUUGCCAAAUCACAGCUGAGUUUCUUCACACUCAUCACCAAUGAAUCCCGCUCCUUUGAAAGUUUCAUAUUUUCAUCAAGGCUAAUCUUCAACCUGGACUCCGCCCCUAGAUGCGCGCGUUGCAUGUUAGACGCUUUCUCUUCAAGUUCAUAUAUAAUUCGAUCCUGCUCGUAAAUUUUCUGCCUCAUGCGACCCGUCUCGGCCUCCAGCUUCGAUACUCGCGAGGCGAUGGCCAUGGACGUGAUCUUACGGGCCAGAUCUAGCUGGUCGUAAGGGUCCGUCGGCAUCACAGCCAAGAUCUCAUCCGGUAAGUGGAAGUCGGUCCCUCCGCCGGCACUGUGGAUACUGCCAUGCUGCGACAUACCUAAUCCCUUCCCUCCUUGUGACUGAAAAUGACAGCGACAAAUGCCUUAAUGUUACUGCUAAUGGCAUG
rnacentral:misc_RNA from 1 species